rnacentral:rRNA from 1 species
UGGGGAAUUUUGCACAAUGGGGGAAACCCUGAUGCAGCGACGCCGCGUGAUUUAGAAGGCCUUCGGGUUGUAAAAAUCUUUUCUAUGGGAAGAAAAUGACAGUACCAUAGGAAUAAGGACCGGCUAAUUACGUGCCAGCAGCCGCGGUAAUACGUAAGGUCCGAGCGUUGUCCGGAAUCAUUGGGCGUAAAGGGUACGUAGGCGGGUAAGCAAGUUAGAAGUGAAAUCCUAUAGCUCAACUAUAGUAAGCUUUUAAAACUGCUCAUCUUGAGGUAUGGAAGGGAAAGUGGAAUUCCUAGUGUAGCGGUGAAAUGCGCAGAUAUUAGGAGGAAUACCGGUGGCGAAGGCGACUUUCUGGCCAUAACCUGACGCUGAGGGACGAAAGCGUGGGUAGCAAACAGG